UGUGUUGUGUUUGUAGAUAAAAAACUAUCCAAAGUAAUUCACCGCUAACACAGAGAUGUCCAUCCCAGGAGUUGAUGCAUAGACUGUAAG